rnacentral:SRP_RNA from 2 species
GCCGGGUGUGGUGAUGCACGCCUGUAGUCCCAGCUACUCGGGAGGCUGAGACAAGAGGAUCACUUGAGCCCAGGAUGUCAAAGCUGUAGUGAGCCAUGAUUGCACCACUGCACUCCAGCCUGGGCAACAAAGCAAGACCCUGUCUCCA